CGGGCCCGGCGCCCCGCGGGGAGCCCGGCGCCGGGGCGCUGUACCCCCGCGCAGGGAGCGGGUUGUCUGGCAGCGUUCAGCCCGGCGGCGCGUUGGACCACCCGUUCGCCUGCGGGAAGGGAACGGCGCAGCGUCUCCGUAGCACGCGACGGCGGGCUUCCGCGCCAGUUUGUGCAAGGCGGACGGGUGAUCCCUCGGCGUGCCUCGGGCCGGCGACUGUGAGCCUAAUUAAGAAGGGGAAGAGUCCAAUAUGAGGCCCGUGUGAAAGACAUAUUAAAACACUUAGCGUGCGGUGCAUCCUGGGGGUUGUAUUCCUCAAUGACCCUUUUAAAGACGUAUCUUGUGAAAUCUCUUGUCAGAGUCUGUGGGGAAGCACAGAUGUCUGCAGAUGUUAGCCAGUACCUGAAAUUAUAUUGCCAAUUCCUUUUGGUGGCAAAGAGCUCAUUUCCCAUUCCAUCCGCAUAGCAACUGGAAAUGUAAAUUUAAUGCUGUUCUUUUUUCAGCUCUUUCACUAGAGAUACAAAACCCGGCACAGUUUCAAGGCAAUGUGGAAGGCUGUGAAGCUGGAUGAAAUCUUGGAGUGUCUUGAGCAUUUUCAACCUCCUCUAAAGCUAACAAGCAGAACCACAUCUUGAACAAUGGGAUUGGCACAACAGCUGGGCGGUACAAGGCAGGAGCAGAGCUCAGCAGCAUCAACAAGCUUUUCUGCCAGAACAUGCUUAACACAGAAUUGCACUCUGAGUUACCGUUUGUUUUGCACUACAUUUAAAUACUGAAGAAUGGUGGCAGGAAAAAUGUUUGUUGUUAUUCUCCAUGUGUUUCUCUAGGCACCAUAAGACAGUCAUUGUCCAGCAAAACUGCAGAGGUAGGCUCUGGUGAUAGAAUGCAUUGAAAAAUGAUGGCCAGAUGGUGGCACAGUAAACACCCUUCCUUUAAAGGGCUGUAGUGUCUAUUAGAAAUAUUCCUUGUUCCAUAUGCAUAUCACAGAGGAUUAGACACAUACACUCCUCACACCUCCCAAAACACAUGUCAGCAGAGUAUUUACUACCAAAUCCAGGAGGAGUUUGUGAUUCUAACAUUGUCCCCAUUAAUGAGAAAAAUGUCACUAUACAAAAGCUCUUUUUUUUUUUUUCUCCUUCUUAUCAAAUCCUUCAAAUAGCUGAUAACUAGCUUUUAUAGAUUGGAGAGUCAGAUAGAAUUCUGGAUCUAUUAUUUUACUAAAACCCCAGGGGUCAACUUAUCACCUGAAAACGAUUUUACAUGGACAAUUUGACUUUCAUGUGGAGUGUCAGAACAUACCCUAGAUGGAAAUCUAAAAUAAAUUAUAUAGAAUACUGCCGCCUUUGUGCUGAAAUUUAUCGGUCCCACACUACAAUAAUUUUGAAAAUUGUAUCCCUUAAGCUACAGUGCUGAGAUAUUAUUAACUGCUUGAACUGAAAGAGCAGUUCUGAUUGGCUGCUAUAAAUUCUAUGGACAGAGACUAAUUUCUAUUGAACCACAUGCUUAUCUGAAGCUGUUUUCCACUAUUCCAGGCUGCCAACUUUAUUUUCUUCCAGAACACACUGCCCAUUUUAUUACUAUCAUCCUCAGCAUGCCCUGUCAGUUUGGUAAAUCUGUUCCAGAAGCUAAGAAUGGCAUCUAAGCUUCUGCUAAUAUGGUUGCCUGAGACAAUCGCACCCAUGAGAGAGGGAGGGAGAUCCACUCGUACCUCCUAUCUUCCUAAUACAGGUUAUUUUCCUCACUAAGCAAGCCUCCAGCCUCUGAAAUGCAUCUCUGUGAUGUAUCACAAGAUAAGCAGACCUAUUUCAUGGCCCACACUUUCUUAAUCACUUCUACUGCCAUACUUCUGAAAUAAAAUUGUUUGAUAAUG